CUUGUGAGUAAAGUGGCGUACGGGUGAGUAACACGUGGAUUAUCUACCCUCUUGUGGGGGAUAACCCUGGGAAACCGGGGCUAAUACCGCAUAAGCUCGAGAGAGGAAAGCAGCAAUGCGCAGGAGGAGGAGUCCGCGGCCGAUUAGCUAGUUGGUAGGGUAAAAGCCUACCAAGGCUACGAUCGGUAGCCGGCCUGAGAGGGCACACGGCCACACUGGCACUGAAACACGGGCCAG
rnacentral:rRNA from 1 species